GCGGCGCUUUGACUCGCGGUGCCCAGGCUGUGAGCGCCUCAGGCCGGAGCCUUUGGCUGCUGUGUGCGCACCUCUCGUGUCGUGCGGCUUGUGAGGAAUAACCCCUCGCUCCUGAGCCCUGCUUUGUUCACUGGCUUCACCCCCUGUCAGGCCAGGCUGCAGGGAUCUGGAAGGAGCGUGGUCAGAAAGAACAACUUCCACGUGAGCCAACCCCCCAGGCCCCAGCACACUCAGCUUUGGGCUGGUUAAAAGUCCAGAGCUCCCUUUUCGCAGCUCCAGUCAAUCUCUGUUUAAAACACGGUUCCGUUCUAUUAAUUUCAAGGAAUGUAAGACACGGAUAAGCACACCAGAGCUCACGAGGAACAGGGGAAGCACCGCAAGGAUAGAGAAGGGCUGUCUGCAGUACUCACCCUCCAGGCCCUUUGCUCACAGUCUGAUGCAGCACUGGCUUGCAGGAUCUCACUGAACAUGUCAUCCUGAGUCAUCUUCUUUCUCGUCCUUAUCUGGCUCAGGGGUCCGUGGGUGUGGAGGGGAAGACUACCACAAGGCUUCAAUGACAGCAGCUGCAGAUAAAACACACAGAGGUGGUGGUCAGGGCCGGCUUUAGGACCUGCGGGGCCCAAUUUGAAUACCCGGCGGCGGUCCGGGUCUUUGACGGCACUUCGGCGGUGGGGGGUCCUUCACUCAGCUCCAGGUCUUCCGCAGCACCGAAGGACCCCCCACUGCUGAAAUGCUGCCAAAGACCUGGAGCAGACCCCCCACCGCUGAAGUGCUGCCAAAGACCCGGAGCGGACCGCGGCCGGGUGAGUAAAAAAAAUUAAAAAGGCGCCUAAGGCAUGGAGCCCUCUUAGGUGCAGGGCCCGAUUCCUAAAACCGUCCCUGGUGGCGGUGAUUUUAACUGAUAUCUCACUCCGGAGGGUAACAAAGGCAGAGAGAGGACAGCUGCUGGCAUCCCAAGGCUGCUCUCACCCAUAUGCUGCUCAACUGUGUACUGCAAUGAUGCCUGCUGAAAUUAUUGCUGACUGGCUGGGGUGGUGUCUUACCACAGAGGAAGAAAUAAUCCCUACAAACUUUUGGGAGAGGACUGCAGCAUAUCUCCAUGAAAGUUUUACUGCGAUCUCUCAGGAGGAUUCAGUAACUACAGCCAACAUCUAAGUUGCUGAAACAUGAAAUUUCUUCCCUCGAAUAGACAACCUUGGAACGUCUAACCCAAAAGAAAUCCCAUUAGUCAUACACUGAGUCUGUCUCUGGGAAAAUUGAUAGUGGAAGUGGGACAAAUAGGCCAGGCUCCCGCUACUGACUUCCAAGCAGUGGAGGAACAGGAGGAAGCUGCGUUACUGGAAACAAAGAGCCUGGUGGGGAAGGCCUGAGUCAUGGAGAGAUCAAAUGAGAGGCCCCAGGAAAGCCUAGGAAAGAUGCCAAAACUAAACAUGUGAGGUUGCAAAGUCAAGCACUCGAAUGAUAGGAAAUGCCAGAAUUAAGGUUGCCUGUGCAACCUAGGUUCUGCUUCAAGUGCUUGCUCAUGUCGUUGGAGAUUUUUGCCUUAGCAAUAUCUGUAGGGUCGGCAGGGGCGCCUCCUUGAGUGCCACGCUCAUGC